UGCGUAGGCGGAUUAAUAAGUCAGUGGUGAAAUCUCUCGGCUCAACCGGGAAACUGCCAUUGAUACUGUUAAUCUUGAGUUCGGUUGAGGUAGGCGGAAUGUGUAAUGUAGCGGUGAAAUGCUUAGAUAUUACACAGAACACCAAUUGCGUAGGCAGCUUACUAGACCGACACUGACGCUGAGGCACGAAAGCGUGGGUAGCGAACAAGAUUAGAUACCCUGGUAGUCC
rnacentral:rRNA from 1 species